GACGAACGCUGGCGGCGUGCUUAACACAUGCAAGUCGAACGGAAAGGCCCUGCUUGCAGGGUACUCGAGUGGCGCACGGGUGAGUAACACGUGGGUGAUCCGCCCUGCAGUUCGGGAUAAGCCUGGGAAACUGGGUCUAAUAUCGGAUAGGAGCGCUUCUUAGUGUGAUGGUUGGAAAGUUUUUUGGGUGUAGGAUGGGCUCGCUGCCUUACAGCUUGGUGGUGGGGGAAUUGGCUACCAAGGGGGCUAUGGGGAGGCGGCCUGAGCGGGUGGACGGCCACACUGGGACUGGGAUUCGGGCCAGACUCCUUCGGGGAGCAGGAAGGGGGGAAAAUGGACCAUGGGGGGGAGGCUGGUGGAAGGACGCCGCGUGGCGGGAGACGGCCUUUGGGUUGUAAACCCCUUUCGCUAGGUACGAAGGUGUGUGUGACGGUAACUAGAAAAGAAGCACCGGCUAACUACGUG
rnacentral:rRNA from 1 species